rnacentral:tRNA from 2 species
GCUUGGUUAGUGGAGCGGUUAUCACUUCGGAUCCUAAUUCCGACAACCCUGGUUUGCUUCCAGGAUCGAGUU